UACGAAGGGGGCUAGCGUUGCUCGGAAUCACUGGGCGUAAAGGGUGCGUAGGCGGGUCUUUAAGUCAGGGGUGAAAUCCUGGAGCUCAACUCCAGAACUGCCUUUGAUACUGGGUAUCUAGAGUAUGGAAGAGGUGAGUGGAAUUCCGAGUGUAGAGGUGAAAUUCGUAGAUAUUCGGAGGAACACCAGUGGCGAAGGCGGCUCACUGGUCCAUUACUGACGCUGAGGUGCGAAAGCGUGGGGAGCAAACAGG
rnacentral:rRNA from 1 species